rnacentral:rRNA from 1 species
GACGAACGCUGGCGGCGUGCUUAACACAUGCAAGUCGAACGGAAAGGCCCUGCUUUUGUGGGGUGCUCGAGUGGCGAACGGGUGAGUAACACGUGAGUAACCUGCCCUUGACUUUGGGAUAACUUCAGGAAACUGGGGCUAAUACCGGAUAGGAGCUCCUGCUGCAUGGUGGGGGGUGGAAAGUUUCGGCGGUUGGGGAUGGACUCGCGGCUUAUCAGCUUGUUGGUGGGGUAGUGGCUUACCAAGGCUUUGACGGGUAGCCGGCCUGAGAGGGUGACCGGCCACAUUGGGACUGAGAUACGGCCCAGACUCCUACGGGCGGCAGCAGUGGGGAAUAUUGCACAAUGGGCGGAAGCCUGAUGCAGCAACGCCGCGUGCGGGAUGACGGCCUUCGGGUUGUAAACCGCUUUCGCCUGUGACGAAGCGUGAGUGACGGUAAUGGGUAAAGAAGCACCGGCUAACUACGUG